rnacentral:tRNA from 1 species
GGGCGUGUAGCUCAGUGGUAGAGCGUUCGCUUUGCAUACUAUCUUUUUCAUUGUAUGCGAAAGGCCCAGGGUUCGAUCCCCUGCUCGUCCA